rnacentral:rRNA from 1 species
ACGAACGCUGGCGGCGCGCCUAACACAUGCCAGUCGAACGAGCGAGAGAGAGCUUGCUUUCUCAAGCGAGUGGCGAACGGGUGAGUAACGCGUGAGGAACCUGCCUCAAAGAGGGGGACAACAGUUGGAAACGACUGCUAAUACCGCAUAAGCCCACAGGUCGGCAUCGACCAGAGGGAAAAGGAGCAAUCCGCUUUGAGAUGGCCUCGCGUCCGAUUAGCUAGUUGGUGAGGUAACGGCCCACCAAGGCAACGAUCGGUAGCCGGACUGAGAGGUUGAACGGCCACAUUGGGACUGAGACACGGCCCAGACUCCUACGGGAGGCAGCAGUGGGGAAUAUUGCACAAUGGGGGAAACCCUGAUGCAGCGACGCCGCGUGGAGGAAGAAGGUCUUCGGAUUGUAAACUCCUGUUGUUGAGGAAGAUAAUGACGGUACUCAACAAGGAAGUGACGGCUAACUACGUG